AUUGAACGCUGGCGGCAUGCCUAACACAUGCAAGUCGAACGGCAGCACGGGUGCUUGCUCCUGGUGGCGAGUGGCGAACGGGUGAGUAAUACAUCGGAACAUGUCCUGUAGUGGGGGAUAGCCCGGCGAAAGCCGGAUUAAUACCGCAUCCGAUCUACGGAUGAAAGCGGGGGACCUUCAGGCUCCGCGCUUUAGGGUUGGCCGAUGGCGGAUUAGCUAGUUGGGGGGGUAAAGGCCUACCAAGGCGACGAUCAGUAGCUGGUCUGAGAGGACGACCAGCCACACUGGAACUGAGACACGGCCCAGACUCCUACGGGAGGCAGCAGUGGGGAAUUUUGGACAAUGGGCGAAAGCCUGAUCCAGCCAUGCCGCGUGUGUGAAGAAGGCCUUCGGGUUGUAAAGCACUUUUGUUCGGAAAGAAAUCCUUGGCGCUAAUACAGUCGGGGGAUGACGGUACCGGAAGAAUAAGCACCGGCUAACUACGUG
rnacentral:rRNA from 1 species